rnacentral:snoRNA from 1 species
UGAUCACACUUUCCGGAAUCGCUGCACCGCCAUGAUGAAAGUGCGUUGAAUCUUUUUCUAUCUGAUGAAAAAAAAAAAGUUC